GCCUAGGGCUGGGGAGCUGGAAGCUGAUGACUCAGCCGCAGGCCGUGGGCAGCCACACCUGUUUCCUGGCCCUGAGUCAGGCCACGGGCAGCACCUCCAGGGCCACGUGGAGCCCAUCUGGCUAAUGGGAUGUGGGUGGCAGAGGGAGGGGGCCAAAGGGAGGGGUCAGGUCAACAGUAAGGGGGCAUUUCCACCUGGAGGCCUGAGCUAUGCAGAAAAGCAGCGUCCCUGCAUCCCCACCAGCUUCUCAGGGGCCCAGACUACUUGAAGGGACUUCAAAAAUGAGCAUUUAAAAACCCUUGAGUUGAAGAAGCGUCCACAUAGAAAAAGGCGCACAGGAGCCAUCCUGACGGGUGUGAGGCGGCGUCUCAUUGUGGUUCUGAUUUGCAUUGCCCCGAUGGUCUCCGGCAUAUUCCUAGAAGAAGACAUUCUGGGUCGUGUGGGGACCCAUGGGUCACCUUCCGAGCAGCUGCUAGACUGUUCUGCACGCUUUCCACUCCCAGCAUUACUUCGUGACAGCAGGACCGCACAGUACAGAAGAAACAUGUGGUUCUGGAGGUGAGGAGCCCGGGAGCCCUCCCAUCUUCCAGAACACCGGGAGUGACGGGGAAACUCUAAAGGCUCCGGCGGGAAGAGAGGACGUUAACAGCCGGUAAACAAGAGUCACUGACAUCAGCAGCAUGAGAUGAAAGGAGACGACGGUGACACCUCCACGUUGGAGGGAGGAGGCGUGCAUCCCGCAGCGCCCGGCCUCCCAGGCGGGGAAGCCAGGUGGACGCGGAUAAACCAACAGCGACACAGUGGUUCACGGAGAAGUGAAGCGUCUGCUCAUCACGAGGCAUCUCACGGAAAGUGAAAGACGGACUUUCCCGACACACAUUGCCGUCCAGGGCUGCGCGCUGAGAGCUGACAAAGGCUUCCUGCGAAUCGCUGAGGAAAAGUGAACCCCACGGGGCGGACCAAAGACACGGGCAGACGUCUCCCGGAGCAGGAGGCGCGGAAGGUGGGACGUGCCGAGGGCUGCUCUCUAGCCGCCGGUGGAAGGCUGAGCAGGACCGCACCAGACGCUGUCUCAUAGCCACUCGAUCAGCAAAACGCCUCGGAAAUGUGACCACCCCUCGGGAGAACAGGAGACAGGUCACUAGCCCCAUUCGUCACUGGGUAGAGUGUAAAACGAUGCGACUGACCUGGGACAGAUCCUUGUGUCAACAUGGACGUCGCCGUGUGCCCCGUCUCGCAGUUCAGCUGGGGAGCACAAGCGGGACUUCGCUCAGUUGUCCCAGGAGAUGUGUCCCGGACGGUCCGCAACAGCAUCCGUGUAAGAGCCAAACCUGGAAACAGCCCAGAGGCCAAACAGUAGACGGGACGAGUCAGCUGUGGAGCGUGAGGUCUCACCAACAAUGGAGAGGCGGGCUGGCGGCCCAGCAGCCCCCUCCAGGGACGCCGGGAGCCUGCCCUGGGGAACCCACCACCCCAGGCUGAGGCCUAAAGGCCCUGACGUGGAGCGCUCCGAGCCGAGGCCCGGCUGGAUCACUGGGGAGGGGCGUCCACAGGGACGCUGCCCUUGGACGUGACAGUGGUCGGGGCAGCAUCCUGUGCCUGCUCUCAACUGUGAUCUGCCACCUAGGACCCGGCAGGCCUGUACCCAGAUGUGGCGUCUGCAGGUCCCACCAAUGACCCACGAGACCUGGCCUUGGGCCUCGGGCUCCCAGUCAGGCCAGUUCAUGGCCUCCCUCCAGGAAGACCUGGGCCCCCUUUGCCCCCUCACCACCUGAGGCCUGUCAGGGAGCUGGGAGCACUCUGCUGGAGCCAGGGUCUUGCUCCCCCCAUCUCUGCCCCCUCCUCCACCUGUCCCUCCAUGGCAGCUGUUGGCGAUGCUCACAUACCGUGGGGCCUCGGCCUCUUCAGGGUCUUUCCGCGGCCCCAGGCACGCCCUGCUUGGCUCGAACCCCUCCCCGAUCCAGGGCCUCCCCGCCCCACCCCCUUGGGCUUAUCCCAAGCCUCGUCCCCCGAGCACUGGGUUUGUGGGGCCCCAGUGCUGAACGAGGGGAGUCUGCCGGGUGGAGAAGUGGCUUCCUCUGCCCCUUGGGCCGGGCCGCUGCCUGCGCCUCCUCUCUCUUUCCCUUUUCCCUUCUCUCUGCCUUCAGGCCCAGAAAUGCAUCUUUAAGACCAGGGUCGCCCAGCCCUGGCGCUGCCGGGCCGUAGCGGGGAAUUCUCCGUGGGGGCUGCCCAUGUGCCGUGGGGCGGUUGGCAGCAGCCUCUGGCCCCCCAGAGUGACCACUGAAAAUGUGUCCAGGCACUGUGCCACGUGCGAGCCACCCCCGGCACCGUGCACUGGGGAGUGGUGAGGACCUUUCAAGAGACUGUGACCUGGAUCUAAGAGCGUGUCCUCACCUCAGUCCUCUGCCUCGCGGGCUGCGCUCCACGCAGACAGGACAGGACACCCCAGGGCAGGAGGUGAGCACGUCCGUGGCUCCCACCCUCCCUCCUGGGCUGUGGACUUGGAGACGGGGUGGUGGGCUGCAUCCCCACCUCGACAGCGACAACAGACAUCAGGGCCACCUCUCACUGUCCUUCCCUGGGGAGACCAGGGACCCGCGGCCCUGAGGGUGGGCCUGGGGAGCUCCUCCCUGGAGAAGGGUCAGCUUCGCCUGCCCCCACCUUGGGGGACACGCACCGUAGGCCAGGCCAGAGGGCUCGGUCGGGCGGGUCGGGCAGAGGCCCCUUGAUGACCUGGGCUCCUGGGCUGAGUCCUGUCUGGUGUGAGCGCCCCCCGGGCUGCAGAGCACUCGCUGCAGAAGCACCCGCCUGCCCCCAGAGAUCCCUCACUGUCGCCAAGGUGAUGCCACGCCACCAUUCGGGAUUUGUAUUCAGAGAAAACCCCCCAGAAGAUGUCCAUGAUUUGAGACUGCAGAGAAGGAAGCAAGUCGUUCUGGGACUGGGUGUCCCCAAGCAGGGACAGGCAGGAGACCAGACAACUCCUGUCUAGCGGGUUGACAGGUGCUCAGUAAAAAUCGUGUCAGCGCCUUAAAAUGUUACCUUGCAGGAUAAACACGAGCGAGGAGAGUCG
ensembl:lncRNA